rnacentral:misc_RNA from 1 species
UUGUUUAUUAGUUUUGCGCUUCCGAGAAUUUCUUCAGGGAAGUUUAAUCGCAGGCUUUAUUUCAAGGGUUGCUUUCGUACUCCGAAGAGUCCUCCAGCGGGUUUAAAUGAAAGCAUCAGGAUAAGUUAUGGCACUUGGAACGAAUUCCAAAGAGUCAUGCCUAUCACAGAUGAGAGUUUCGCGGGUCUACAUCAGUCCUGCUGGACUCCGAAGAGCACCAACAGAGACCUCCGUAUUGUUUUUGGGGUGUGGUAAUGAUCCUUCCGCAGGUUCACCUACGGAAA